GUGGAUAUGGGGGUACAGGGAGUGGGAGGACAUACGGAGUGUGGAUAUGGGGGUACAGGGAGUGGGAGGACAUACUGAGUGUGGUUAUGUGAAGACAUAUGGAGUGGAGCAAUUCAAAGUAAAUUUUAGAUUUAAGGGCAAAAAAAAAAGUGGAAUUGGAAACAUUCUUCCCAACUACCUGAUUCCAGAUCGUCUGUUUAAGUCUAAAAUAUGAAAUUCUUCAUUUACACCCUAAAUGUGUUCAUGCAUCGCCAAGACUCUGCUGGGAAUUUCUCUCACCCAAGGAUGUAUUUACCACAAGGAAAACAAGGCAUUUUCCUAGGGAGGCACUUUCAGGAGGGCGCCAAAAAAUGCCACCCCAAGCUCCCAGACAAAUGCCUUGUUUGCCUCAUGUUCUGGGGCUGUCCACCUUACUGUGAGUGAGUGAGUGUGUGUCUGUGAGUGAGAAUGGGUGUGCCUGUGAGUGUGUGUCAGUGUGUGUAUGUCAUUUUAUGUGUAUCUGAGAGUGUGUGCCUGUCAGUGCGUGGGUGUGUCAGUGUGUAUCUGUCAGUGAAAGUGUGUGUUGGUUAAACAGUGUGUGCCAAUGACUGUAUGUUUGUGGCAAUGACUGUGUAUCUGUCAGUGAGUGUAUAUCAGUGCAUAUAUCAAUGAGGGCAUGUGUCUGUCCGUCACAAAAAUGGCCUUAAAACAAAUUGGGGGGGCAAAUUUAGAUUCUGGGGGUGCCCGAAUUUAGUCAUGCCUAGGACAGCACAAAACCCAAAAUACACCACUGCUCUCACCCAGUUUACCCAAUGCCAGACACAGCUCCGUUCAUUAACAGGGUGAUCUGUUCAACUCCACAUUCUCCCAAAUCAACACGCCAAAAAUGGUAAAUCUCAACAGAUUCUCCGCCAAGGGCACAGCAUGGUGUCACGAACGCACCCUACUCCAAGAGUGUGCGUGACAUAGUUGUGGUGGUGAAAGGGUUAAACGUCACCAUUUGUCUGCACUAGACCAGAAAUAAUGACAAAAUCCCACUUAACACCACCCACACUUACACAUAAUAAUAUAACUAUUACCAUUUUAAUGCUGCCACCACCAAGACAAUUUAUAAAUGGGGUGCCUUGGUCACUCAGGUAAAUCAAUAAUAAUAAUAACCCACCAAAUAUUACUUACCGUAAUAUACUCGAGUAUAAGUCGAGUUUUUCAGCACAUUAUUUGUGCUGAAAAACCCCCACUCGACUUAUACUCGAGUUAAUGUCUGUAUUAUGGCAAUUUACAUUGCCACAAUACAGACCAGGACCGCCGGGCUCAUUACAAGCCCGGCGGUCCUGUUGGGGGCUGACAGUGAGAGGUUACUUACCUUCCUGCAGCGCCUGUCAGCUCCCUCCUCCUCCGUGCAGCUCCUCUGUCAGCUCCCAC